UACGUAGGUGGCAAGCGUUGUCCGGAUUUACUGGGCGUAAAGGAUGCGUAGGCGGACAUUUAAGUCAGAUGUGAAAUACCCGAGCUUAACUUGGGUGCUGCAUUUGAAACUGGGUGUCUAGAGUGCAGGAGAGGUAAGUGGAAUUCCUAGUGUAGCGGUGAAAUGCGUAGAUAUUAGGAGGAACACCAGUGGCGAAGGCGGCUUACUGGACUGUAACUGACACUGAGGCUCGAAAGCGUGGGGAGCAAACAGG
rnacentral:rRNA from 1 species